rnacentral:tRNA from 1 species
AUUUAUAUAGUAUAAAAAUUAUAUUUAACUUCCAAUUAAAAGAUCUAUCAAUAGUAUAAAUA